rnacentral:rRNA from 1 species
UACGGAGGGGGCGAGCGUUAUUCGGAAUCAUUGGGCGUAAAGGGCGCGUAGGCGGCCCCGUAAGUCUUGGGUGAAAGCCCUCGGCUCAACCGAGGAAUUGCCUUGGAUACUGCGGGGCUCGAGGCUGGAAGAGGACAGUGGAAUUCCCGGUGUAGCGGUGAAAUGCGUAGAUAUCCGGAAGAACACCGGUGGCGAAGGCGGUCUGCUGGGGUCGAACUGACGCUGAUGCGCGACAGCGUGGGGAGCAAACAGG